UGGGGAAUAUUGGACAAUGGGCGAAAGCCUGAUCCAGCCAUGCCGCGUGUGUGAAGAAGGUCUUCGGAUUGUAAAGCACUUUAAGUUGGGAGGAAGGGCAUUAACCUAAUACGUUAGUGUUUUGACGUUACCGACAGAAUAAGCACCGGCUAACUCUGUGCCAGCAGCCGCGGUAAUACAGAGGGUGCAAGCGUUAAUCGGAAUUACUGGGCGUAAAGCGCGCGUAGGUGGGUUGUUAAGUUGGAUGUGAAAGCCCCGGGCUCAACCUGGGAACUGCAUUCAAAACUGACUGACUAGAGUAUGGUAGAGGGUGGUGGAAUUUCCUGUGUAGCGGUGAAAUGCGUAGAUAUAGGAAGGAACACCAGUGGCGAAGGCGACCACCUGGACUAAUACUGACACUGAGGUGCGAAAGCGUGGGGAGCAAACA
rnacentral:rRNA from 1 species